rnacentral:lncRNA from 1 species
CCCUAAUCUUGAAAAGAAAUACGAUAGAGAAAAUCGUACAAAAGCAAAAUACUCAGAAUAUCAGGUUCUACUUACUUCAUUUUUACAGCUAAGUUUAUCACCUACUGGGGUAUAACAUCCUUCGUAUUUUGAAAAUUUUAAACUUUUGUACACAGAUAAUGUCUUAUUUUUUUCAAGAUGUAGCUACAUAUUUAAACUCAUAUCAAUGUUAAG